GGCAGGCGAAUAAGGGGAGGGCAAGCCUGGUGUCAGCCGCCGCGGUAAUACCAGCUCCUCGAGUGGUCGGGGCGAUUAUUGGGCCUAAAGCAUCCGUAGCCGGUUCCGUAGGUCCUCUGUUAAAUCCAACCGCUUAACGGUUGACCUGCAGAGGAUACCGCGGGACUAGGAGGCGGGAGAGGCGGGCGGUACUCCGCGUGUAGGGGUAAAAUCCUUUGAUCCGCGGAAGACCACCAGUGGCGAAGGCGGUCCGCCAGAACGCGCUCGACGGUGAGGGAUGAAAGCUGGGGGAGCGAACCGGAUUAGAUACCCGGGUAGUCCCAGCCGUAAGCGAUGCUAGCUAGAUGAUUCAUUCGCAAGUCGCGAAUGAAGUGUCGCAGGGAAGCCGUUAAGCUAGCCGCCUGGGGAGUACGGUCGCAAGACUGAAACUUAAAGGA
rnacentral:rRNA from 1 species